rnacentral:snRNA from 1 species
GUCGAAGUCGUAGCUAUAGCUACCGAACAAAUGAAUUGUACUAUAUAUGCAUGUAUAUAUAUAUAUAUUUAUAUAUGUACACAUUUACUUCUGUGUUAAUAUAUAUUUUGGUAACAUAUAUAUAUGCACAUAAAAUGUUAAGUGCUUUAAAUUGUACAUAUGUGUGUGUAAUAUAUAUAUAUA